rnacentral:ncRNA from 1 species
CCACUAACGGUGGAUCCCUCGGCUCGGAGUUCGAUGAAGAACGUGGCAAAAUGCGAUAAUUGAUGCGAUCUGCAAGCCUAGUGAGUCAUCGAGUUUUUGAAUGCAAAUGGCACCGCUGACUCUGUCAGUGGUAUGUCUGGUUGAGGGUUGUUUCCAGUAACCAUCCUGACUGAUGAUGGACGACGACAACUGUUGGCGGCCGUCGCUAUCGGGAUGACGGGCUAGCCCGUGAUAUGGUCAUGGUUGAUCAAUCUUGACCCAAGACGAUGGAUGAUGAUUGGCAUUGACACGCAGACAACGCUCGGUGUGCGCGCUGUAUUUGUGGUUGAAAUAUCGCGAAUGACGACGUGUGCAUGGACGUGUUGGUUGUGUGCCAGACACUCAGUGUGCAACCUCAACUCAGGCAAGGAAACGCCGUGAACUAAAGCAUUUCAGUAACGGCAGGAAAAGAAAAUAACCAUGAUUCCCACAGUAACGGCGAGUGAAGUGGGAAGAGUCCAACGUUGAAAGCGGCAUCUGUAACAAGGUGUGGCAUUGUAACGUAUAGACUUGUCAUCGAGGCGUCCGACCGGACUAAAGUCGUUAAGAAUGGCGCACCAUAGAGGGUUGUAGUCCCGUACAUGGUUCGGUAUCGGAUGUCGUGAAUGGCAAAGUCAAAGAGUCGGAUUGUUUGGGAAUGCAGUCCAAAGUGGGUGGUAAACUCCAUCUAAGGCUAAAUAUUACUCCGAGACCGAUAGCAAACAAGUACCGUGAGGGAAAGGUGAAAAGAAUUCUGAGAAGAGAGUGAGAAGAACGUGAAACCGUUAGUGG